rnacentral:pre_miRNA from 7 species
UCUUAGGAGAUGUGGGUGGUUGCGCCAAUCCCAGGACGAGCCCCCAAAUGAAAGACUCCCAGAGAAGCCCCUCACUCAGGCCCCGGCAUAAUAGCAGACCCCCAAGAACUCACGAGAGACC